ACUCCUACGGGAGGCAGCAGUGGGAGUAUUGCACAAUGGGCGACGAAGCCAUGAUGCAGCCAUGCCGCGUGUGUGAAGAAGGCCUUCGGGUUGUAAAGCACUUUCAGUCGUGAGGAAGGUAGUGUAGUUAAUAGCUGCAUUAUUUGACGUUAGCGACAGAAGAAGCACCGGCUAACUCCGUGCCAGCAGCCGCGGUAAUACGGAGGGUGCGAGCGUUAAUCGGAAUUACUGGGCGUAAAGCGCAUGCAGGUGGUUUGUUAAGUCAGAUGUGAAAGCCGGGCGUCAACCUCGGAAUUGCAUUUGAAACUGGCAGACUAGAGUACUGUAGA
rnacentral:rRNA from 1 species